rnacentral:rRNA from 1 species
GAAGCGACCUCAGCUCAGGCGGGGCUACCCGCUGAGUUUAAGCAUAUCAAUAAGCGGADGAAAAGAA